rnacentral:rRNA from 1 species
AACGAACGCUGGCGGCAGGCCUAACACAUGCAAGUCGAGCGCUUCACUUCGGUGAGGAGCGGCGGACGGGUUAGUAACGCGUGGGAAUAUACCCUUCUCUACGGAAUAGCCUCGGGAAACUGAGAGUAAUACCGUAUAAGCCCUUCGGGGGAAAGAUUUAUCGGUGAAGGAUUAGCCCGCGUAAGAUUAGAUAGUUGGUGGGGUAAUGGCCUACCAAGUCUACGAUCUUUAGCUGGUUUGAGAGGAUGAUCAGCAACACUGGGACCGAGACACGGCCCAGACUCCUACGGGAGGCAGCAGUGGGGAAUCUUAGACAAUGGGCGCAAGCCUGAUCUAGCCAUGCCGCGUGAGUGACGAAGGUCUUAGGAUCGUAAAGCUCUUUCGCCAGAGAUGAUAAUGACAGUAUCUGGUAAAGAAACCCCGGCUAACUCCG